AGUGAACGCUGGCGGUAGGCCUAACACAUGCAAGUCGAACGGCAGCACAGUAAGAGCUUGCUCUUACAGGUGGCGAGUGGCGGACGGGUGAGGAAUACAUCGGAAUCUACUUUUUCGUGGGGGAUAACGUAGGGAAACUUACGCUAAUACCGCAUACGACCUACGGGUGAAAGCAGGGGAUCUUCGGACCUUGCGCGAUUGAAUGAGCCGAUGUCGGAUUAGCUAGUUGGCGGGGUAAAGGCCCACCAAGGCGACGAUCCGUAGCUGGUCUGAGAGGAUGAUCAGCCACACUGGAACGGAGACACGGUCCAGACUCCUACGGGAGGCAGCAGUGGGGAAUAUUGGACAAUGGGCGCAAGCCUGAUCCAGCCAUACCGCGUGGGUGAAGAAGGCCUUCGGGUUGUAAAGCCCUUUUGUUGGGAAAGAAAAGCAGCAGGUUAAUACCCCGCUGUUCUGACGGUACCCAAAGAAUAAGCACCGGCUAACUUCGU
rnacentral:rRNA from 1 species